GGUGGCUUAAUGGUAGAGUGCUUGCCUAACAUGCAUGAAGCCCUGGGUUCGAUUCCUCAGUACCA
rnacentral:tRNA from 1 species